AAAAGAUUCUAAGAAGAUUUUAAAAAGAUUUUGUUAGAACAUUUUAAAUAUAUUCAUUUGUAUUUCAAAUAAAAAGAUAAAGAUAUUAAAAGAUAUAUAAUAAUGAACUUAUGUAAAAUAUGAUAUUUUCUAGGAAUGGUCCAAACUAAAAAAAUCACACAUGAAAAGAAGUCAUGACUUCUGUUUUAAUAUAUUAGAAGGAUCAAGAAACCCCUUCGUAGGGGUGGGGUAGAAGCCGAAUACUUGGUAUUUUCAGUAUACUUAGUACUCAGCUUGGCUUGUACGAGUAUUAAAAUUUUGGACUUGUGCUUGGUUUGUUAAAAACGAGUAUUUAUAGUUUCAAGUACUUACGAAAAAUUGAUGGACUUGGUAGUUAGUUGCUUUGUUUUAUUAUUUGUUACUUAUAAAUUAUUUACAAAUUAUUUGAUAAUUAUUGGUAAAUUAUUUGAUAAUUAGUUGAAAUUUAAAAGUAUACUAGAUUUUGACCCGCACUUUCUAAGUGCGGGAAUUAACAAAUAAAUUCUAUAUUAUAUUUUUGCUGUCAAAAAUUAUUAUUAUUAAAUGUUUGUAUGAACUUAAUAUAUUAUGUAUAUUUUUAGUAGUGGUUUCAUACGUUUUGGGUGUGCAUGAUUUAUAUUAAAUGAUUUAAGGUUUUUAUGAAAUAAAAUGUGAUGUAUGAAGUGUGUUUUUGGUACAAUAUAUCAACAUUAUAAUACAAACAAUCUUUAUCAGUGUUUUUUUUGUCAAAAAUAUAUAUAUAAUUAUAUAUAUAUAUAUAUAUAUAUAUAUAUAUAUAUAUAUAUAUAUCCGUCAAUAAUAAGUAUUCACAUACUGAGUAAAAUAUGUUAUCAAGAUUUAUGAAAUGUUUAACAAUUUUAAUAGUUUGACAAAGGUUUUUUAUAAUUAAUUUUUAAUAUAUUAAAUUGGUUUGAAAAAGUGAUUUUUAGACUGUAAACUAAAUCAUAAAGUUAAUAUGAGCUUCCUUUUUUUUUAAACAAUAUAUGGGCUAGUUAAUAAAAGUCUAUUUAUUACAAAAUUCUCACCAUGUUUAAGUGGGCUUCCGACAGCAAUAAUAUAAGAACAAAAACAUAAUGUAUCUUCAUUAGUUUUGAAAAAAGUCAGACAAAAAAUCAAUAUUGACUGUUAAUUUGCUAAAAAAAAAGGAAAGUCAUUCGAAUCUUCCACGCCGAAAGCUCAUCUUCAUCAAACCUCCAUUUCUAGAAUCGAUGAUCGAUUUCUGAGGCGCUAUAACCGUCCUCACCCUAACCGAUCUAAAGAGAGUACAACAAAUCGAGUGGAUCAGUGUAUAGAUAUUGGAUCCGACAUAUGACCAGCUCGUAACUGAUAGCCAUCUGAAACCUUACUCUCAUAUUAUAGACAAAAAGCACCUCAAAAUUGUUUACCUUCUUGUCAGAGAAAAUGAUUUCCGUUGUCUCACUAAAUUGUUCACUUUAUCAAAAUCCAGGUGUGAAAAAACUUUGACUUGGAUCCACGUUUCAGUUUUGUACGCCUUGAUAUCGGACAUGUAUGAUAACUUCAGUGUAGGCUUCAUUUUCUAUGCCUAAUUUUUUAGCAAGGUGUUAGGUUGAAUGGGUCGAGUAGAUAAUAUAUAUAGCAAAAGGAAAAGAUUUGGUGAGAAUAAAGAAAGAUAUUAAAGAUUUUAUUUAAAAAAUUGUUAGUAAGAUAUGCCUUGCGAGUCGGAUUUUGCUAUAAAUUAGGAAUAUAUUAUUUUUGGAUUCAUUAUGGAAAUUUAAAUUAAUUAUUAAACUUCAAAGGAAUGAAAUAUAUUGGUGGUUAGCGUAAUUAAUUUAUUGUUGAGAGAAUAUGCUUAGAAAAUAUGGACCUGUUACUGACUUGAUAGAUAUUUGGUAAUCCGUUUCGCAAGGCAUAUCUUUAUUUGCAUAUUUGGUUGUUUGUGUGAGACAUUUUCUAUUAGUGAUAAGAUCAAUAAAAAAUUUUAUUAACGAUUAAUAGUAUUAAGUCGGAAAAUUGAUAGACAAUAUGGGGUUUAUGGUUUGAAUUAUGAAAAAUUCAAAGUUUCAUAUUUCGUUUGUGCUCAUCUAAUUAUUAUUAUUAUCAUAUUGUAAAUGGAAAUAUAUAAUAUGCAAUAAUAUAUUCACGGAUCAAUAUGGGGUUUAUGGUUUGUUUUUGCAUGGUAAACAAUUUUUUAUAUUUGUGUUAAAAAAAAUUUAUAUUGAGGCAACACUUGUAAAAAUAGUUCUAGGGUUUAUGGAUUCACUUGAAAUUAGGCGUUGUAGGGUUUAUUGAUUCGUUUGCUAGGUAUACGAUAUACAAUGGGGCAAUCCGUUUUUUUCUAAAGUUCAUGCUGCUCAGAUGAUAAUU